GUGAAUCAAUUUGAGGUAUUUGGAAUUGUGUUUCUGAAAGUUCAGGUUUGUCCAAGGAGAGGGGAAAGAUAGCCCUGGGAAGAAGACUAGUAGUGAGGUUUUUCUUAGUCUUAAGUAGAUGAUUUGGAAUGUGUACCUUUCUGCUCCCUUUUUGCCACAUGGCUUUUCUUCUAUUCUUUUUUUUUUCCCCCUCAUUUUAGCUCUGUAAUCUUUGUAUAGUAGAAUACAUAGAAUGUGGAGAUGCUCACUAAAUUGACAUGGAACUUCCAACCUUUUAGAAUCUGGGGUUAAUUUAAGGGCAGUAGGAUUACAAUAGUCAUCUGCUUGGCUUUCGGUCUCCUGUUGAAGUUCUGUAUAACUGGGCUUGAAUUACCAUUUUCAACCUUUUUAAUACCACUACAAUGUUUGAGCCAUUCCACUUGUUUAAGAAAACAAGCCCAAAUUGUUACUGAGACAAAACCCUACUCAUCCAUGUCAAAAAAAAAUCACAAAGGGGCACAUAUGUGUAAUCCCAGCUAAUUGGGAAGGGUAAGGCAGGAGGAUGACAAGUUCUAGGCCAUCCUCAGCAACUUAGCAAGAUCCUAGGAUGUAGCUCAAUGGUAGAGCACCCCUGGUUCAAUCCCUAGUACUGUAAAAAAAAAAAAGAAAAAAGUAAAUUUCUGAGAACAAAGAAGGUGACAAGCAAAAGAGGCAAACUGACCUGUAUAAAGUGUGGUGUGUAAGUAUGUGCAGCUGCCUUGCUCUGAUAAGGCCUCAACCACCUCGACUCCUCUUCUAUACUCUUGAGGACUAAGUCAGGCCUUGUCAACCAUUUCCAUUUUCAUUUGCCAGAAAUACCCUCAUGUCACCCUUAUCAACCCAAAUCUGAAUUAUUACAGCAUUUUCCUGGCUGGCCUUCCUAAAACUAACUGGUGUUUCAGAAUCCGUGUGGUUCUUCUAUGAACAUAAAAUGAUAUUAUGUUCACUGCUUCCUAGUAAGAUUGUGAACUCUGGGAUGGCGGGCUGAUUCUUCUAUCUAUCUAUCUACCUAUUUAGAGGCAGAGUCUCUUUAAGUUGCUUAGGUUGAUCUCAAACUUAGGGUCUUCCUGCUUUCCAAAGAGCUAGGAUUAUAGGUGUGCACCACUAUGGUGGGUAAUAGUAAACAUUUUUUUUUAAAAUAUACUCAAGAAAGAGGUGAGCAAAGUAAAAUACUGUUAACUGAAGAUUAUACAAGGGAACAUUAAAAAAGAUUUGAAAAAAAUUUUGUAAACCAGGCACAGUGGCACAUGCCUUUAGUAGUCCAAGCUACUGGGGAGGCUGAGACAGGAGGACUGUAAAUUUGAGGCCUGCUUGAGCAAAACCCUGUCUUAAAAAAUAAAGAAGGCUGGAGUUGUAGCUCAGUGAUGAAGCGCCCCUGGUUCAAUCCCUAUUACUACCAAAAAAAAGUUUCUUUAACCUCCACAUCACCUUGCUCAGUGCCAAGCAAGCACAUGAUUGAAGCAGUUGAGGUUAUUUUAAUAAUUCCUAGCUAAAUGAAACCUUAACAGAAUUAUGAAUUCACUGAGGGAUUCUAAGACUGGCUGGUAGGUUGGGAAGUGAGAACAAGGUGUCAGCAUUCUGCUCACCUUUAGAUGGGAGAUCAACCCAACUCUGACACCAAAAAAACACAAUCCAUAUUGAAAAUCAACUCCUCUACUUUCCUAAAUCUGAUCCUCUUUGGGUUUUCAAAAUUAGUGGUAACACUGUCCUAACAAGCCAGUCAAACACCCAAACUUUGAAUUGCUUUUGACACCUCCCUACCACAACCAGCUUUUGUGUGUGUGUGUGGGGGGGGGUGCCAGAUAUUGAACUCAGGGGCACUCAACCACUAAGCCAAAUCCCCACCCCUAUUUUGUAUUUAGAGACAGAGUCCCACUGAGUUGUUUAGUGCUUCACAGUUGCUGAGGCUGGCUUUGAACUCUCCUGCUGCUAGGAUUAUAGGCCUGUGCCACCACGCUGGACCGCAACCACCUAUUGAGUCUAAUUUCUGAUCACUCUCAUUCUUCCCCCCAGUACCCUGGUCCAGACCUCAUCACCUAUAACCCAGAACAGAAUUGCAAUCCCUACCUAUCUGAUUUUCCCACUAAAUCCUUCCUUUACCAGUUCUUUCUCUCCACAGGCAGCUAGUACAGUCUUCCAAAUUAGAGCACAAUUGAUCAUUGGAUCUCUUAUUUCCCUGACUGAAAAGAUCUUAUGUUCUCCAUCCCCUGCAAAUCUAAUAGGCAUUAGAGGAUCUCCAGUGAUUUGAGCUCCAUCCUCCUUUCCACCCUCAUGCCCAAGUCUACACUUUUAAGCACUCUGUCCAGAAUCCAUUAUUUGCCCUUCCUUUCUUGUAAUUGACCUCUGUGUUCCUUCUCCCUUUUCUUAUGUCAUUCCUUAUGCUGGAAUAUCAAUUCAAACCUGUGUUUGAAUCCUAGUUUUGUUACCCAUUCACUUUGAAAAAUUUGGCAAUUCACUUAAAACUCCCUUGUGUCAUAGAUUUUGUGUUUAUAAUAAAUUGUUGUAAUAGUACCUAUUUCAUAGGAUUGUUGUGAGAAACAUUCUUUUCCUAAUGAGACAUACUUGUUAUCCCUCUGCAGCAGUUAUAUGUGUUCAAUAUCUUAACUCCCUCUAGAUUAAAUGUAGGAUCUUGAAGGUUAUCUUUAUAUACCUUAUAAACUCAGAGCUUUGAACAGAGUAAGUACAUUUGAAAACUUGAAUGAAAUGUUAGUAUUGGGCUACACAGAAUACACCAGUAAUACAGUAACCACUCAGUUGAGGACAGUGAGAGGGUGGGGAUAAAUAAAACACUGGGUGAAGGGCUGGGGUUGUGGCUCAAUGAUAGAGCGUUUGCCUAGCACAUGGGAGGGACUGAGUUCAAACCUGGCACUGGAUUUAAUCUUCAGCACUACCUGAAAAUAAACAAGUAAAGGUAUCGUGUUCAUCUACAACUAAAAAAAAAGACUG
rnacentral:lncRNA from 1 species